CUGCGCUGCGUCAGGGUGCCGAGGCGGGGUUUCUCGCCUCCGGUCACAAUGGGACCUCUGUACCGCGCUGGGCUUGUUGGCCUGCGAUUAGCACACACCCAUCCCUGGGAACUGCUAGUCUGGAAAGCGGGGCUGCUUCUCCGGGAUGAGCCCGAGCCCUGCCAAGCCCCUCAAGGCAUUGAAGCUUUAGCUCACCUUAUCCGAAUGGUCAUUGGGCAUCUGGACUUGAGUUAACGACUGAAUUUUUCUGGGAAGCAAGGGACACGUUCUAAAAUAACCCCAGGAUCACUCUCCGAACUUGGCCUGAGUCUAGGCAAGCAGUGUUACUCGGUCGCCUUGAUCUUGGAGCUGCUGUGUACUGGGGACCUCAUACUAGUUGGGUUAACUAUAUUCCCAUUAGCAGUACGCGGGAUCGCAGUACUCGGGACAAGCUGAGUUCAGGUAUUUGGGUAAGACAACUGCAACACUUCAGAGGUUAUUUGUGGAGUAAGAUGUUCGACCAUACAGUGAAUAAUUCGAAGCUAGGGAGAACAGAUUAGAGUCUGGUAUGAAGAAGAAAGGGAAGGAAAGGAAUAGUUUUGAAGCUCAGCGCUAGAACGACUCGAUGUCCAUGCCAGGGUACCCCGAGUGGGCCUUGAAAUCUUGCGUCUCAGUGCCUUACAGGGAAUGGUAGAAACUGGAAAAUCUACAAGUAAAGUAUUGGGACCUCCUAAUUUUCCUUUUAGAUGGAGGAAAACGGGCUGGGAUUCCCUGCAGCACUUAGCACACGCUGCUAUGAGUAACACGAUCUGGAAAGACAGCGCUAGCAAGGAAUGAGGAGUGAUACAGUGACUGGAGGCUAAGAGAUAAUGUCUGCAAGUCACCUAAAACCAUUGCAGACACAGGGAGAUUGAUGGAUUUGGAGGACUUCUGGUUGUGAAGACUCUGACGAUUGCUAAAGAGGUACAAAUGAACAUCCAGAUAAAGAGGUCCUGAACUUCUGCCAAUACUCUAUCUACGGCCUUCCCCACCGCAUCCUGUGUCUGUAAAGACUCCAGACUCAGCUGGCAGAGGAGAGAAGUGGCUGGAUGUUGGGAAGAAGCAAGUUGACCUCAGAGAAAGCAGCUGGAUGUCAGAAAGAGGCAAUUUGACUUCCGAAGAGAGAGACAGAGAGGUGACUUAACCUCAGGGGAGAGCAACCUGCCCUUGAGACAGAGAGGUGACUUAACCUCAGGGGAGAGCAACCUGCCCUUCCCAUCCCCUUUCCAGCUCCCCUCUCCGCUGAGAGUUGCUUUCAUCACUGAAUAAAAUUCUCCACAUUCACCAUG
rnacentral:lncRNA from 1 species